rnacentral:rRNA from 1 species
CCUACGGGGUGCAGCAGUGGGGGAUAUUGCACAAUGGGGGGAACCCUGAUGCAGCGACGCCGCGUGGGUGAAGGAGUGCUUCUGCAUGUAAAGCCCUAUCGGCAGGGAAGAAGCAAGACGGUACCUGACUAAGAAGCCCCGGCUAACUACGUGCCAGCAGCCGCGGUCAGACGUAGGGGGCGAGCGUUAUCCGGAUUCACUGGGUGUAAAGGGAGCGUAGACGGCCAUGCAAGCCAGGGGUGAAAGCCCGGGGCCCAACCCCGGGACUGCGGUGGGAACUGUGGGGCUAGAGUGCGGGAGGGGCAGGCGGAAUUCGUGGUGUAGCGGUGAAAUGCGUAGAUAUCAGGAGGAACACCGGCGGCGAAGGCGGCCUGCUGGACCGCGACUGACGUUGAGGCUCGAAAGCGUGGGGAGCGAACAGGAUUAGAUACCCGGGUAGUC